UGCCCCUCCUGAACUGUCGACGUGUGCGUG
rnacentral:piRNA from 1 species